CAGGAAGAGAACUGGCAUGGAGGGAUCGCUGAUUGUGACUGAAGAAAAGGGACUUUCAUUACUGUAAAGCAAUUUUGCUUACGCCAGAUGAGAUCACCAAUGGACAGGAGCGAGGGUGUUCAGCUCUUACUGAAGGCUGCCUAAACUAAUGCAAUUACAAAAACCCCCAAACAGUGAUGUGAGUCAGAACUUCACAGGAACGUACACACACAAAACCACGAUCCCAUUAAGCAUGAAACACCUGUGACCAAACCUGAUCAUUCCUGGCAGCUACAGAAAAUAAAACAGUCCAGAGAAGCGAGAA